UGCCGCCGACCUUCCUCCGCGCUACUGCCGAGCCCCGAUCUCCUCUGUGCCCUAGCAUCUCCGCCGACGCCAGCCACUCGAGUAGCGCUGGCCACCCCCGAUUCCGGCAACCGAGUACACUGUUGGGGUUCUUCAGUGCUGUAGCACUGCCUCCGACCAUAUCUUUUCUCUGGUUUCUGGCGAUCAAGAAGGGUUUCAGUGAGUGAGGAGGUUUGCCAGCAUCUACUUCUUCCGGCAGCAAUCCACUUUGACUGUGGGUUGAGCGGUAUCACAGCG